rnacentral:rRNA from 1 species
GACGUAGGGCGCGAGCGUUGUCCGGAUUUAUUGGGCGUAAAGAGCUCGUAGGCGGCUUGUCGCGUCGACUGUGAAAACUUGGGGCUCAACCCCAAGCUUGCAGUCGAUACGGGCAGGCUAGAGUUCGGUAGGGGAGACUGGAAUUCCUGGUGUAGCGGUGAAAUGCGCAGAUAUCAGGAGGAACACCGAUGGCGAAGGCAGGUCUCUGGGACGGUACUGACGCUGAGACGCGAAAGCGUGGGGAGCGAACAGG